GAAAAAGUACGCAGGAACUGCUAAUUCUAAGCCCCCAUGUCUAACAACAUGGCUUUUUCA
rnacentral:tRNA from 1 species